GUUAGGUCUUAGGAAGGGAUUGACAGUCACAAACACAAACCGUCUAGAUAAGACAACCAGUGGAUUACAUUCACUCAACAGCAAUAAUUUAACAGAGACUUCGUCUAAGCAAGUGAACAGCGUUCUCCAAUCACCAUGAAUAAAGUUCUGCUGAUUGUGCUGGUGCUGGCUGUGUUGAUGGGCCUGACAUGCGCUAUGCCACAGGUGAUCAUAACACGGCAGAGAAAAUUCCCCGGAGAGAGGCGCCUGGGUAGUGUGAACUAUGGCCAGUACCGCUUCGGCAAGAGAGGAUAUCAGAGGAAGAACCAUUCUAGAAAGAACUGAAAAGGAAACUACUAAAAAACUACGUAAUUUGUGGGCAAUGACCCCUCGCCGCCAAAGCCUCCACGGGGACUUACGGGGAGGGAAGGGAAGGGGAAAAAAAGGGGGGAGGGGAGGAGAAUAAAGGGGAAAGGGAGGGGAAAGGAGGCUUUGGCAAGUAGGAAGUAAACAAGAUCACUCCGUAGACUUUAGUAGGCGCCUCAGCAACCGUUGAAGACGAACCAUAUAAGUCGAAACGCUCCUUGGGUACGAAUUAUCCAGCAACGCAGUCGCAAGCAGAAGGCAGAGAGGAAGACACUUGAAGCCAGUGACUGCAGGCGAGAUAUGACGAGACCCUGAUCGCUUCGCUAACACCGCUUUCUCAUCAUAUUCCUAAAGUUCAUUGUUAUCCUACACCACGGAAGACUACCAGAAGUGUAUCUGAAGUCUUGAAGUCUGAAAGUCUAAAGUUUGGCUCAAAGUCCGGGUUCAGAAGAUUGUUGGGGCUUCAGUUUCAGUCUGAAGUUUGGCUCAAAGUCUUGGUUCAGAAGAUUGUUGGGGCUUCAGUUUCAGUCUGAAGUUUGGCUCAAAGUCUUGGUUCAGGAGAGUGUUGGACUUCAGUUUCAGGAUAGAAUGAAUGUGUAUAGUUGAGUGAUUAUAUUUUUGUAAUAGCACAGCUUAUAAUGACUUUCUGAUGAAUGUCGAGUGAUAUAUUGUUAUGUUUACUGAAUAUUGUUGAGUGCGUACGUUUUAUUUAUCAACAUUGUACAGAAACGAAUCACAAGUAUUCGAUAUUAUUUUUGCUAAAAGAUUGUUAUUCUUGUUAUAUAUUUUAUAUAGUUACUAUACUGUUGACUAUUUUGUAAAUACUUUAGCGUUGUAAAUUAAAAAUAUUUUCUUAGAA